rnacentral:misc_RNA from 1 species
GAUAGAGAAACGGUUGGGAGGUUAGUGGAGGCAGGGGUGGUUGAGAUGGUGAAGGAAGCUGUGAAUGUGCUGCCGGAGGAGGCAAUAACUAUACUUGAAGUGGUGGUGAAGAAAGGUGGAAUAGUAGCGAUAGCUGCUGCAUAUAAUGUAGUAAGGAAAUUAGGGACGUUGCUAAGACAAGGAUCGGAAGCGACUAGAGAGAGUGCAGCGGCAAGUCUUGUUACGAUUUGUCGAACAGGGGGGUCAGAAAUGGUGGCGGAACUAGCUUCAAUAUCUGGGAUUGAGAGAAUUAUAUGGGAAUUGAUGGGAUCAGGUACAAUGAGAUCGAGAAGAAAAGCGGCUACUCUAUUGAGGAUUCUCCGAAGAUGGGCGGCUGGGUUGGAUGUUGAAUUUGUGGAUUUGCAUACUACUACUGCUACUGUAACAAUAAGUAGUUCAUCAAGAGCUGCAUUGGCAAGCUAACGUUUGUUUGCAGAUCUUUUUCAACUUGUAAAGAUAUUAUUAUGCAUUGUUCAGAAAUCAAAAUGGGAACCUCCCCA